rnacentral:lncRNA from 1 species
GCACAGGGGGCAGUGGGGGGGGGGCAGGGCCAUUCCCCCUCCCGGGCCCCAGGACUCCCCACGCAGUCCGGGGCCAGCUGUGCCUGAGCGCCAGGGUCCCCUGGGUGCUGCUGGGAGCAGGGGCAGCAGGCCCGAGCUAAGCAGGCUCCGAGCACCUCGGGGAGGAGGACCGCGGUGGCCUUCGUCCCGGGCAGUGGAGCCACAGAGGGCAGAGGCAGGGCAGGCUGCACGGGCGCGUCCUGAGACCACUCUCGCUGCCGCAGAGGAGCUGCUGAGCCUGAGCCUUGGCCUCCCUGCUGGCCGGGCCUCCCGACCCCGGCUCAGGGCUCCUGGGGGGCCUCGGCCCUCGUGGUUACCUUAGCAACACAAACCACCUCAUCCACCCACACCGCUGUGCGCCAGGCCUGUUCCUGCCUGUCCACAUCCCGGCGACACAGACCUGCGGGACAGCCGGGCAGGUGCCCUGCGCCUCCGUCCCCAGGAGCCCCCCAGGGUUUCCAGGUGGGCCUGCGUCUGUCUCCCCCAGGUGCAGCUGGACGCCCUGCACCAGGCCCUCGAACAGAGCAGGCGGCACAGCCAGGGCCUGGCCAGAAAGCUGAGGCUGCUGGAAGACUGCAGGUGCCAGGAGGCCGCGGGGCUGGAGCCCCUGCAGCAGGCCCAGACGGCGGGGCGGGAGCCGUCUGCCCAGCACCAGCAGGACCCGGCUGGGGAGGCAGAGCGUCCGUGUGCGGCUCGGCUGCAGGCCCUGCAGGCCCCGGAGUCCCCCGAGCAGCCCCAUCAGCGGCAAAUAAAGGUGCUGGAGGAGCAGGUGGCCGCCCUGCGGGAGCAGCUGGACCGGGAAGAGCAGCGGCGGCAGCCACAGGCACAGGACGGCCAGGCCGGGCAGUGAGCCCUGUGCGGCCCGCCGGGAGCCACUGCUGGGAACACCAGCCCGUGCUCCGCACCAAGCGCCCAUCAGGGGCCAAUAGGGUGGGCGUGAUGCUGGCAGAGGGUGCAGGGUGUGUGCCCGCACCCUGGAGCCCCCGGGGGGGGGGCGGGCACACGCUGACCCCUCGGACUGCGGGACUCCUCCCGCCCCCGGGGGCCUCGGCCUGCAGCUGGCGCCGGACCUGCCGGGCUCACUCCUCUGCGACAGCCCCAC